GCCCGGCUAGCUCAAUCGGUAGAGCGUGAGUAGAGCGUGAGACUCUUACGGAAUCCUCCAGUGGUUCCAGGCAUCUCAAGGUUGGGGGUUCGACCCCCCCGUCGGGCU